CGGCGGGGUGCGGAGCUCUGGGGUGCUGCUGCUGGUGGGGUGGCUGUGGGUACCUGGUGAGGGAGUAGGGCUGCUGGGCACCCGGUGAGGGAGUAGGGCUGCUGGGCACCCGGUGAGGGAGUAGGGCCUAGGGGGAAGCUCUUGGGGUUUUGCCAAGCGUUGGCCCCCUCAGGGUGCAAAGUUUAGUGGUGCUAAGGCCUUCCUGGGGUGGCUCUGGUGUGUGAGGCCGCUCUCCCCGGUGGGAUGAGAGGCGUGAAGCGGUGGUAGCUCUGGGCUGUGGCGGUGUGGGCCCGCAGGAACAGCCUCUAGGCUGGGGUAGUACCAGUGGCUUGUCGGUGGGGCCUUUACCGUGCUCGUUCCACUCGGCCUGGCUGGGCUGUGCCAGUAACUGUCGGUAUGAAUUGUAACAUCCUAAAUAGUGAGUGCCCAAAAACGGUAUUUAAAGGUUGAGGGUCUUUUUAUAGACUGUAAAUGUCCCUUUAGGCAUACAGAGAUCAGCCAUCAUAAUUCCAUGGCCCUUACUGCUGUCUACUGCCAUCCCAUGUCGGAUACAGAGAAUCACAGAAUGGUUGGGGUUGGAAGGGACAUCAUCUAGUCCACCCCCUGCCAAAGCAGGUUCACCUGGAGGAGGUUGGACAGGAACGCAUCCAGCAAUAGGAGCUUUUGACAGGGAAAGAAGAUUAGUAUGAGAUGCCAGUAUUCCUAAGAAGAUGACUGCACCCAGGGAUGAUUGUAGAGAGAAGCUAUACCUGCAGUUUCACCAACAGAUGCACAAAGAACGAGACACCUGACUGUCAUUGUUGCCAUCGGCAAGGAGCAAAACACCUGCUAAACACUUUGGACUUCUGGAAUGUUCUUGAUGUCAACCUGCAAAAUGGCCACUGCUUGGAGGGAUACCCAGCCUUUUGCUAGUGCCAGCUAUUCACAUUAACCUGGUACAGCUGAUCUAGGAAGACACUGCUGACACCACUGGCAGUAGUGGAAGUCCUCUAACCACAUGUGCAUCGCACCUUCUGUCACUCCAGCCUGGGAGAACUUCUGAAAAAUUUAAGAAGGCUUUUCUAUUAAAACAAGCGUUCAUGAAUGUCAGUGUUGUACCUCCAUAAUUUAAAAUUAGAAGCUGCUAAACAGUCACAAAAUAAAGUUACCAGUUUUACACAGUUGUCA